CAGUCGCCACGGUAAUACGAAGGGUGCAAGCGUUACUCGGAAUUACUGGGCGUAAAGCGUGUGUAGGUGGUUGUUUAAGUCUGUCGUGAAAGCCCUGGGCUCAACCUGGGAAUUGCGAUGGAUACUGGGCGACUAGAGUGCGGUAGAGGAUAGUGGAAUUUCCGGUGUAGCAGUGAAAUGCGUAGAGAUCGGAAGGAACAUCUGUGGCGAAGGCGACUAUCUGGGCCAACACUGACACUGAGACACGAAAGCGUGGGGAGCAAACAGGAUUAGAUACCCCCGUAGUCCCUGUCUCUUAUAC
rnacentral:rRNA from 1 species